GGAAAGGAUAAACAUGGAAUGAUAGGCCUGGGAUUACUACAGCCCAGUUUAACUUUUCCUACUACAUGAAGUAUACGGCUGCUUUCCUGGUGUGUUCUCAACAUUAAAUUCACUUCCAUUCAAGCUGCUGUGCUGUAAGACCAGCUAUCAUACUCCCUGCUUCUGACUGCUCUUUGAAGAAGAAAGUGUCACAUCACCUGAUGAAAUUAAGCUUUUUAUUCUCUGCCUAAAUCUUCUGUCUGGUAGCAAAUAGGUGGGAGUCAUCUCUGGCAGCUGAACUGUCUGGAUGUCUGCAGCCUUCUGUGAACAUCAGAACUGAUUUCUACCCUGGAACAGAAGAGAGGUGUUUACGCUCUGUGUUGCCCCCUCCCUUCAAGAGUACAAAGGUAUGUGUGUGUGUCAAAGAGUGGUGAAGUAAGGACUCACUGUUCUUGCAUAUCUUGUAUGCUCUUUCUCUGUCAAGUUAUCAGAUUUUCUUGGUGCAGUUACUUGUUCCUCACAGUGAGAUGUCUUCUGGCUGCUUAAUGAGGUUUUGAAUGGCAGUGAACAGCUUUGCUUCCAAAAGUAAUGGCUGUAAGUAUUCACACUAUUUGAAUCAAUACUAAGUAGAUCAGGAAGUAACUUGGGUAGUGGGGAUAGUCUCUGCAUCUUUG
rnacentral:lncRNA from 1 species